rnacentral:rRNA from 1 species
AGAGUUUGAUCCUGGCUCAGGAUGAACGCUAGCGACAGGCCUAACACAUGCAAGUCGAGGGGCAGCGGAGAGGUAGCAAUACCUUUGCCGGCGACCGGCGCACGGGUGAGUAACACGUAUGCAAUCCACCUGUAACAGGGGGAUAACCCGGAGAAAUCCGGACUAAUACCCCAUAAUAUGGGCUCUCCGCAUGGAGGGCUCAUUAAAGAGAGCAAUUUUGGUUACAGACGAGCAUGCGCUCCAUUAGCCAGUUGGCGGGGUAACGGCCCACCAAAGCGACGAUGGAUAGGGGUUCUGAGAGGAAGGUCCCCCACAUUGGAACUGAGACACGGUCCAAACUCCUACGGGAGGCAGCAGUGAGGAAUAUUGGUCAAUGGUCGGCAGACUGAACCAGCCAAGUCGCGUGAGGGAAGACGGCCCUACGGGUUGUAAACCUCUUUUGUCGGAGAGUAAAGUACGCUACGUGUAGCGUAUUGCAAGUAUCCGAAGAAAAAGCAUCGGCUAACUCCGUGCCAGCAGCCGCGGUAAUACGGAGGAUGCAAGCGUUAUCCGGAUUUAUUGGGUUUAAAGGGUGCGUAGGCGGCACGCCAAGUCAGCGGUGAAAUUUCCGGGCUCAACCCGGACUGUGCCGUUGAAACUGGCGAGCUAGAGUGCACAAGAGGCAGGCGGAAUGCGUGGUGUAGCGGUGAAAUGCAUAGAUAUCACGCAGAACCCCGAUUGCGAAGGCAGCCUGCUAGGGUGCGACAGACGCUGAGGCACGAAAGCGUGGGUAUCGAACAGGAUUAGAUACCCUGGUAGUCCACGCAGUAAACGAUGAAUACUAACUGUUUGCGAUACAAUGUAAGCGGUACAGCGAAAGCGUUAAGUAUUCCACCUGGGGAGUACGCCGGCAACGGUGAAACUCAAAGGAAUUGACGGGGGCCCGCACAAGCGGAGGAACAUGUGGUUUAA